UUGCAGCCAUGUCACAGUGAAACUACGGUUCCCGUACGAUCACCGAAGUUAAGCAACGUCGAACCUUGUUACUAGCAAAUUGGGUGACUGCUUGGGAAUAGCUGGUGCUGUAAG